UACGGAGGGGGCUAGCGUUGUUCGGAAUUACUGGGCGUAAAGCGCGCGUAGGCGGCCAUUUAAGUCAGAGGUGAAAGCCCGGUGCUCAACAUCGGAAUUGCCUUUGAGACUGGGUGGCUAGAAUCCAGGAGAGGUGAGUGGAAUUCCAGGUGUAGCGGUGAAAUGCGUAGAUAUCUGGAGGAACACCGGUGGCGAAGGCGGCAUCCUGGACCGGCAUUGACGCUGAGGCGCGAAAGCUAGGGGAGCAAACGGG
rnacentral:rRNA from 1 species